rnacentral:tRNA from 1 species
UGCCUCAUGGUGUAAUGGUAGCACCGCAGAUUCUGAAUCUGCUUGUUAAGGUUCGAGUCCUUAUGAGGCAACCA